UCUCCGUUGGUGAACCAGCGGAGGGAUCAUUACCGAGUUUACAACUCCCAAACCCAUGUGAACAUACCUACUGUUGCUUCGGCGGGAUUGCCCGGGCGCCUCGUGUGCCCCGGAUCAGGCGCCCGCCUAGGAAACUUAACUCUUGUUUUAUUUUGGAAUCUUCUGAGUAGUUUUUACAAAUAAAUAAAAACUUUCAACAACGGAUCUCUUGGUUCUGGCAUCGAUGAAGAACGCAGCGAAAUGCGAUAAGUAAUGUGAAUUGCAGAAUUCAGUGAAUCAUCGAAUCUUUGAACGCACAUUGCGCCCGCCAGUAUUCUGGCGGGCAUGCCUGUCUGAGCGUCAUUUCAACCCUCAUGCCCCUAGGGCGUGGUGUUGGGGAUCGGCCAAAGCCCGCGAGGGACGGCCGGCCCCUAAAUCUAGUGGCGGACCCGUCGUGGCCUCCUCUGCGAAGUAGUGAUAUUCCGCAUCGGAGAGCGAUGAGCCCCUGCCGUUAAACCCCCAACUUUCUAAGGUUGACCUCAGAUCAGGUAGGAAUACCCGCUGAACUUAAGCAUAUCAAUAAGCGGAGGA
rnacentral:rRNA from 1 species